AGGGCUGCACUCUCAGCAUAUGGAGUUUCCCAGGCUAGGGGUCUAAUCGGAGCUAUAGAUACUGGCCUACACCACAGCCAUAGCAACACAGGAUCUGAACCGCAUCUGGGCAUAUGGAAGUUCCCAGGCUAGGGGUCUAAUUUGAGAUACACCUGCAAACCUACAGCCACAGCUACAGCCACAGUAACUUGGGAUCAGAGCCAUGUUUGCGACCUACACCACAGCUCAUGGCAACACUGGAUCCUCAACCCACUGAGUGAGGCCAGGGAUGGAACCCGAAACCUGAUGGUUCCUAGUCAGAUUCUUUCCCCUGAGCCAUGAGGGAACUCUUUUAGAAUUUUCUAAAUGUGUCUGAUAUUUCAAAAUUUCACUGUGAAGUAUGUAUGUGCUUAUUUAGCACUAUUUGAAAUGCUGGGAUCUUUUGAUCGGCAGAUUCAUUUCUUUCAUAAGUUCUUAAAAAUUCUUAGCCAUUAUUUCUUCAAAUAUUGAUUUUUCUUCCAUUUUUUUUCUACCCUUUAUUUUUGGAACUUCUAAGAGAUGGAUGAAGAAAUUCUAGAUCUGUCCUGUAUAGUUCCUAACUUUGCUUCCUUUGUACUACUUUGUGGGAAAAUCCUUAAUUCCAUCUUUCAGACCAGUAAUUCACUAAUUUGCUAAAUCAAGUCAAUUUUUCAGGCAUUUAUUAUUUUAUUUAUUUAUGUAUUUAUUUUAUUUUAUUUUUUUCUUUUUUGGCUACCCUUUGGCAUAUAGAGUUCCCAGGCCAGGGAUAAGAUCUGAGCUGCUGGAUCUUUUAAACUACUGUGCCAAUCUGGGGGUUGAACCUGCAUCCUGGCACUGCAGAGAUACCACCUACUCCACUGUGUCACAGUGGGAACUCUGACAUUUAUUAUUUUAUAGCUGUGAUAAUUUUCAUUUGCAAGAUCUCCAUUUGUUUUUAUUCCACCACUAACUAAUUUUUACAUCUAACAAUUUUUCUAUUGUAGAGUUGACUUCAUUUUAUAUAUUUGAUGUUAUUUAAUAUAGCUAUCCCUUCCACUUGUAUUUUGUAUCUUGUCAUAUUUGCUUCUGUGAAUUUUAUGUUAAAGUUUUGUUGGUGUUCGAUCCCUGGAUUCACUCAGUGGGUUUAGGAUCCAGAAUUGCCACAAGCUGUUGUGUAGGUCAUAGAUGCAGCUCAGAUCCCAUCUUGCUGUGGCUGUGGUAUAGGCCAGCAACUGCAGCUCAGAUAUGACCCCUAGCUCAGGAACUUCCAUAAGCUGCAGGUGUAGCCCUAACCCUAAAGUAAAUAAAUAAAUAAAUAAGCCAAAGAUUUUUUAUCUUGAAAAAGAUCAUUGUCCCUUAUUCUUCAUCUAGCCCAUCUCUCUUCCUUUUGUAGCCCAAACUAUUGAACAAGUUUUUUUAUAUUUUUUAGUCUACAUUUUCCUGCCUUUCAUUCAUUUCAGUCUGGUUUCUUUCUCAUUAUCAAUUACCUAAUAAUGGUAAAUACAAUUUAUUUAUUGUUUGUUUGUUCAGUCAUUUUACUUGGCUCUUCUGAAUACUAAAGACUGUUGACAAAUCUUAUCUUAGCUUUCACCAUGCCACUGAUAAUUUUUCUGCUACAUUUCUGAAUUCUCCUUUUUGUUCUUAUUUGCAUACUCAUAUUCAGUUACUCAGCCAACCUAUUUUUAAACUCCUCUGGGUUUUGUCCUCUCCUCACUUUCUAAUUUUGGCUUAGAGUAUGUUAAAUUAUACACCUGGAUUUGAUGAAUUCCUGCAUCCAGAUGAGGUCUUAGUUUUUAUUUUGAAUCCAGAACUCACAUCUGAGCUUCAGGCCUCUGUCCAGAACUAUCUUCUCAUUAUUUCACUUGUAUAUUUUAAAAGCACUUCAAACUCAAUAAUAUCUAAAACUCAACAUCUGAUCUCCUCUAAACCUGUUACAGUGAGUCCUACUUGGCACAACCAUUUGUCCGGAUCAGUCAACCAGAUACUUAAGGACAUUUUUGGGCACCCACUUUUCUCUUCCUCUUCCAGAGCCAAUCCAUCACUGCUAACCAGCUUUACUCCUAAAUGCCUCUCAAAUCUAUCAUUUUCAUUUUUCUAUCUUUUUUCUUUUUUAAGCUCUCAAUAUUUACCUGGACUGUUGCACUAGGUCCCUAAUUCCAGUCUGUUCUUCAUAUUUUAUCCAGAGGUCUUUUCAAAACAUAUCGUUCCAUCACUGAAACAUAAGACUUGCCAUUGAUCUUUGGAUAUAAACCAAAAUCUUCAGUAUGAUCCACAAGGCCCUCCAUGUUUUUGCCUAACUAUUCAUCUCCUUCAACGCUAGGAAUUAUCUCACUUGAUUUCUGAACUCUGGUCACAGUGGCCUUUCGAUCCUUAGGCUGUGUCCUGUUAUCCUUUGCUAUGAGAUCUUGGUAUAUCUUUUCCCUGCCAAUUUUGUUGUUUUGUUUUUAGGGCUGCACCUGCAGCAUACAGAAGUUCCCAGGUUAGAGGUCGAAUCUGAGCUGUAGCUGCAGGCCUACACCACAGCCACAGUAACACUGGAUCUAAGUUUCAUCUGCAACCUAUGCUGAAGCUUGAGGCAACCUAUGCUGAAGCUUGAGGCAAUGCUGAAUACUUAACCCACUGAGCCAGGCCAGGGAUGGAACCCACAUGCUCAUGAAAUCUAUGUCAGGUUCUUAACCCACUGAACCAAUAUGGGAACUCCCAGAAUUUUUUUUCCCAGUCCUCCACACCUAGUUACUACCUACAACCUCAUCAUAUCUCUAUUUAAAUAUGAUUUGUGUAACCUUCCUUUAAUCCUAGACUUCUAGGAGGCCCUCUUACACACUCUCAUACUACAGCCCACCUUUUCCACCUGGCUUUAUGACAGUUUAAAUUGCGUAUUAUUUAUGUGGUUAAUCGAUUGAUGUCUACUUCCUCAUCUAAACUAUGAAAUGCUUGAAAAGACUCUAUUUUGGCUGUCUUUGGAGUAGUGAGGAGGCACUCAAACUACUUUUUUUUAAGAAAUGAGAGGAAAUAUUUGAAUGCAGUGUUUGUAGAGUUUCAAUGUUAACGAUAGCAGUUAUUCCUUAUGUUUCUGUCUGUUGUCACAAAUUAUUUUUAGUUUUGGAUAGAGCAGAAGAUAUUUUAGGAUCUCUAUGCAUAUCAGCAGAAAAGAGAGAGCAUGUUAAAAUUAAGGAAUUUGAAGCAUGUUUAAUAGGAACUGAUAUGCCAUGGUAUGAGAUGAAGACUGGGAAAUCAUGAGAGAUGCUGGGGGUCCCUGGGCUACUAUUAGCAGGGGAAGUGGAAGCAGGGACAAACACUUCCUCUCUAUAUUUAGUUUUCUGCCUGUCUUCCUUUUUGGCUAAACUCACCUGGAAGCCAGAGGAAAACUGAAUCGGCUGUAUACAGUUUGUACAGACUACCUGACUUUAGCAAAAAGAAGAUAGAGAAUGGAUCUAAAGAACAAAGAAAAAUAUCCAGUACAUUAUGCAAAGUUGAUUACACCUAAAAGAACUUGGUUAUGCUUAUUUUACUUAUUGCUUUAGUAAAAGACUGAAGUCGACUCUCUAUCCUUUCAUAAAUAAUGUUUUCCCAUGUGGACUCAGGCCUCCAAAAUCACGGUAAAAAACAUAAAAAAAAUGCUAAGGAAUCUAUCUACUCAUAUCCUUUAAAGAGGUUUGAAUAUGCUAAUAAGACAUCCAUCUGGCCCUGUUUUCUGCAUUCUUCUAUAAUCAUUAUGGGGUUGGAUGAUUCAGAUGUUUCAUUGUAAUUGUCUUGUUUGUCAGAGAACUCUUCCUCUCCCCAUCUCAGCAGAGGAAGGGAUGUCUCUAGAGUGGAUAAAGAGGAAGAUUUGUUUUUUUUCUUCUCUUCUCCACUCUUACAUUUUAGAUAAAGUUGUUUUUCUCCCGAGCACUAGAUAUUUUCCAAGACAUUCUCUGCUUGUUCUUUUAAUCCAAAUGACAGUGGAACAAACUAUAUAGCUAGUAUCCUCUUAUUCUCUCUGGAAAUUUAUAAAAGAAAAUAGGUAAAGCAAGCCAAAGGAAACCAAUAGGACACUAUUUUUUUAAAAGGCCUAAUAUCUCACAAUUAGCUUCAGAUUAAGUUCCCCAUCAGUCCCCAUGAUCAUAUUAUAAACAAUUUAAAAAUUGGCAACACAAUUAAUAUGUAUUUCCUCAUACAUAUCACGAGGUUUGCGUUAAAUUAUACCCCAUUGGUAUGGAUCAUACAAAGGACAGAAGAGAAAUUCAACCAAGAAUUUCAAAGAUUGAGGGAUUCUUGGCUGACCCCGCAUCUAGCUACACAUUCAGUGUUGACUUCUCUUCUUUACUUCAUCCAGUUUCAGUACUUGCCAUCACGGCAAAGACUUUCCACUCUGAGGCAGCUCCUUCUGUCCUGGGACACCUCUGACUAUGUUCUUCUUUCCCUUCUUCAUCUAAAAAAUCUAUGGAUUCCAGAAUAAUAAAGCUGUCAUUUAUUAAACAAUUAAUAUGGGCGGAGGGCUAUGCUAAGUGCUUUACAAAUGUUCAUUUCUUUAACCCUCACAUGCCCCUUAAAUAGGUAUGGUAGAUUGUUGGAUGACCUCAUUCAAUAACUGGUCAUUAGGACCACAUCCGUCCCAAUUUGACUUCUCUGCCCUUCCCAUGCAGAGGUGGAGACUUUUCCCUCACCUUCUUAAAUCAGGACUAAUCUCAUAUUUUAUACUGUGCGUGUUUCAUAUUCUAGAUCUCAAAAGUGCCCGAAGGAGCUCUCUCGGUUUUCUUGGAAUGUUGCCCUGAGGCUCUCAAAUGAGGAAGGCAGUCUAGAUUUCCUGGAGGAUACGAAGCCAUAUGAAGAUCCCAGGGACCUUCCUUGAUAAUCAGCACCAACUGUCAGACCUGCGAGUGAGUCUGUUUUCGAACUUCCAGGCCAGCUGGUGCUUUGGCCAAAUGCAGCCAUGUGAACGAGUCCAGGCCAAACCAGCAGAGGGGUUUCUAGGUUUACCCAAAGACUUGAGAGGCAUAAUUGCUAUUAUUUUAAGCCAUCAAAUUUUAGAGUAGAUUUAACAUAAAAUCUAAUUCAGUCAGUAGGUAUUAUGAUUUCCUUUAUUUUAUAAGUAGGUAAAUGAGGCAGGGCCAUGUUUAUUAUAUUGUCCAAAAUGGCAUAUACAUUAUGUGGCAGGGCUAGAACUUGAAUCUGGGUCUUUAUGAAUCGCAAAUACAUACCUGAAGAUGCAAUGAUACUCUGCCUCUCUAAGUCUGUUUCCUAUUUUUCUACAAUUUACUUCCAAAUUUGGAAGGUGGCAACCAUGCUGUCCAAGGCCCUUGUCCAGGAUAGAACAGGGGCUUUUCUUUUCUUCAUGUGAUAAUGCUUGUCAGGCUUAAUCUGCAUGGUGUUCAUUCCCAUUUGAAGACCUAACAAGUAUCCACCUCUGUCUAAAAAGGAGAUGCCAGAACCUAACAAUGUAUCCACCUCUGUCUAAAAAGGAGAUGCCAGAACCUAACAAUGUAUCCACCUCUGUCUAAAAAGGAGGUGCCAGAACUAACUUGCUGGUGGACUCAGACAACAAAAGGACAGAGCAGAGUUAACCAAACUCUGGCCUAUGGACCAGUUUUGGUCAACUACCUCUUUGUGUAUGGCUCAUGAGCCAAAAAUAGUUUUACAUUUUUCAGUGGUUGAAAAAAAUUAAAAAAAAAACAAGAAAAUAAUGUUUUAUGAAAGUUAUAUGAAAUUAAAAUUUUCAGUGACCACUAAUAAUGUUUAUUAGAACACAGUCACUCAUUUGUUUACAUAUUUCUUUCUUUCUUUUUUUUUUUUUUUUUUUUUUUGUCUUUUGUCUUUUUAGGGCUGCACCCAUGGAAUACGGAGGUUUUCAGUCUACGGGUUUAAUUGGAGCUGUUGCUGCCAGCCUACGCCAGAGCCACAGCAAUGUCAGAUCCAAGCCGCUUCUGCAGCCUACACCACAGCUCACAGCAACACCGGAUCCUUAACCCACUGAGUGAGGCCAGGGAUCGAACCAGCAACCUCAUGGUUCCUAGUUGGAUUUGUUUCCCUUGUGCCAAGACGGGAACUCCCAUGCUUACAUAUUUCUUAUGUCAGCUUUUCCACUAUAACAGCAGAAUUAGGUAGUUGUAACAUAGAAAAACUUAUGACUCACAAAGCUGAGAAUAUUUGGCUUUUUUCAGAAAAGUUUACUGAGUCUUGAAAUAAGGCAACUACAACCUUCUUCACUUUGGAUGUUCCACGUCUCUUAUUUCAUCCUUAUAUAGUUUUUAUGGGUAGUAAUGUCACUCUUUUGAGUGAUUUUGCACCAAGUACAACUGUCUUUUCACUCAUUUUUCUAAAGCCAUAACUCCAUUUCUUUCAUUGAGCUUUUGAACCCACAGACAUUUUUUUUUAAUUUAGUUUCAUUAAAUUUGAUUUUAUGGGAGUCAACCACAUUUCAGUCUUUAAAUAUCUUAGUGAAUAUUUAUUCUGUCUUCCAACAUGCUCAACCUUUCUCCAGGUUAGAUUAAUGCACAAAUCUGAAAAAAAAAAAAAA
rnacentral:lncRNA from 1 species